GUUCCCACCUAGAUUCCCGGACCAGAGGGUGGCUAGAUGCACGCUGCCACACGGGCCUUAUAUGGGGAUAUAUUAAACCUGCUACUCCCCAAAUCAAAGCCCACCAGAUUCCUCAAGACCUUGCAAGACCCAGACCCCAGCAGACACCACCACAAGAAAACCCAAGGAUUCAUCAGACGCACAAGGGAGAGAUGGGUCCAUCCUACGCCGAGGAUGGACACAUAUUCCCUGUCUCUCCUUCUUAUCUAGGUGGGCAACGACACCUCACUCGCUCAUGUUUCAGUGUCAGCUGGUGGAGGGAGAGAUGGGGAGGAUGUGUCCAUCCGUUGCAUAGGAAAGAUACAUCUUCCCAAUCUCUCCUCCUGGUGGGCAGCAAUAUACUUCACUCUAGUCCACCUCGUUGUGUUAUAGUGAAAUGCCCCUCAGCGUUAAUUCAGGAAAUGCUCAUCAAGCAUGGAACAGAAAAGAAUCAUCAUACACCUCAUAGUGGAAUGCUGCAGAAUAUGUGAUCAAAGAAGGCCUUUUGCCGUCUAAGGAUCAACAAGGUCUCCAGAGCCUGGAAACUAAACUUCAGGGGGCCGACUUCAAACUGAAACUGUUGUGCUCUUGUUCUGCUGCUGUCCGGAAGAAUCCCAAAACAUCUAAAGUACAGUGGAGUCAGUCAUGAAGAGGUGGUUGCAGCUGGCAGCAGACCGGGAAGGAGGAAGGAGGAGACGAGCAAGGGGUGUGGAGGCACCUGUGCCAUGAUGGACUUGGGUAGAGGGGUGUAUUUGAGGGUGGAGAAUGGUAUGGAGUGAGGGAUGGUAUGUCCUAGCUGGAGAGAUUGGGAGGAUGUGUCCAUCUGACACCGAAAAGCGACACCUUCCCUGUCCCCUUCUCCUGUGGGGCAGCCAUACCUCACUCACUCAUGCUUCAGUACCAGCUGGGGAAGAGAGAUGUGGAGGAUGUGUUCAUCCGAAGCUGAGGAUAGACACAUCUUCCUUGUCUCUCCUUCCAGCAGCUCUGAAAAUAUAUACCAACCUUAUCAAAUUCAGGUAGAAUUCUCAGGUUUUGACCUCCUGUUGAAGUGUUUGUCAUUUGAGUAUGACUAUCCCUUUAAUUACUUUUUCCCCUUCCUACUUACACUGGGCUCACAAAUAGUUAAUACAACACAAUAGUGCAAAAAAUCCAAAUAAAAUACAGAAAACAAUUAACCCUAUCAACACCAGUGGGCUUCACAUGGGAAGGGGAAACAGUAAUUAACCCUUUAGACCCCAAUAGAAUUCUAGAAUGCUGCUGUAGAAUGCUGCUUUAUUAGAAUGGUGCCGGGAGGGGAUUGCCGCGGUUCUCACGGCUCCUGACAAAUUUUGAUAUUUUGUGUGUUUUUAACUUUUUUUGCCAUCGUUUCCUAUGACCGAAAAUAGCUUUUGGACAUCAGAACAGCGAUUUCUCACCUCGAUCUGGACAAGGAUGUUUUCUUUAAUGAGUCGUACAGAAAGGAUAUAAUGUUCUUCCCGGACCAGGCCCAAAACCCUGUCAUUCGUAAGAAGAGGAGGUGCCGCUCCAGGGGUCGACAAGCCGGAUGCCUGGCGAGACUGCAUCGGCGAAUGGAUAAUCCGCCUCUACCCCCCGUUCCACUGGUGAACGUGAAAUCACUGGAGAAUAAACUGGAUGAACUUCGUUCGAGACUAUCCUAUCAACGGGAUAUUAAAAACUGUAAUGUCCUAUAUUUCUCCUAUAGUCCUGGCUGAACAAGGACAUGGAUAAUAUACAGUUAGCUGGGUUUUUCGUGCAUCAACAAGACAGAGCAGCAGCCUCCUGUAAGAUUGGGGGGUGAUCUAUUUUUCUUUAUCAACAACAGUUGGUGUGCUCUAAUAUUAAGGAAAUCUCAAGGUUUUGCUCGCCUGUUAGUACUUCAUGAUAAACUGUAAACCACACUAUUUACCAAGAGAGUUUUCAUCUAUCUUCUUCAUAGCUGUCUAUUUACCACCACAUACCGAUGCUGGUACUAAGGCUGCACUCAGCGAGCUGUAGAAGGUCAUAAGUAAACAAGAAAAUCCUCCUCUUAGUGGCCGGGCACUUUAAUGCAGGAAAACUAAAAUCCGUUUUACCUCAUUUCUACCAGUAUGUCAAAAAACUCUAGACCACCUUUACUCCACACACAGAGAUGCGCACAAAGCUCUUUUGCACUCCACCCACAAGAGCCAUAGUGAGGUCAGACACUGAUGUUGGGUGAUUAGUCCUGGCUCGCAGUUUACAUUCCAAUUCAUCCCAAAUG